rnacentral:lncRNA from 1 species
CUCGACGAGUUGGUUGCCCUACUCGUCGAGUAGCAGCGGGGUGGGACCGCAUGUUUAGUGACCUACUCGUCGAGUCCAGGGAGGGACUCGACGAGUAGGAGCUAGCAGAGGAAACCCUAAAUCUCGGGGUUUUGCACCCUAUUUAAGGAGGCCUAAGCCUCCUUUGGCCUCUUUACAGUCUGUGAGAGCUCAGUAAAACCCUAAUUCGUGUGGUACUCUUUUUGGUUUGUUUUAAGCCUUGGAAAGAAGGUUGGCUAGGAGGGAAAAGCUUGAAGAGCAAAGGAGUUGAAGCAAGGAAGGUGUGGGAAACAGAACUUACCUCAGCUAGCAUCUUUUGGAGGUCUCAAGUUGCAAUCUUUACCCCCCUUCUCUUCUAGAUCUCUUUGGGGUUGAGUUUUAGGGUUUUAUAGAUUUUUGGAGUCAAAUUGGUGAGCUAUGGGCUAGAUCUGAAGUUGUAACUUCAGAU